UCCCUGAUGGCCUUGCGGUUAAGGACUUGGCAUUGUCACUGCUGUGGCUCAGGUUCAAUCCCUGGCCUGGGAA
rfam:Sus scrofa isolate TJ Tabasco breed Duroc chromosome 14, whole genome shotgun sequence.